CGUUCAGUAUUCUUCUUUAUAAGAUGAAGGGUGCGUAUUAAUUCAGACAUGGUACAUGUCAUGCAGAUAAGAAAGGAACACACCUCGAUGUUAUGGACAAAACGUUAUUUAUGUGGGCUUUCUUCUUUUUGAGGAUCUAACUAGCACUCGUUCAGAUUCAAAUAGAAAAUUCAAGGGCAAUCAGACUGUAGAAGAUUGCUACGGAGGUGGAAAAGGAGUUUGUAGUUGAGGAGGAGAGUUCGAGUUGGCCAUUGGAUGUUCAAUGCGGAUGUAGGCCGGAGAAUUAGGGCUUCGGAGUAUUUCGAGCAGCACCCCAUCAAGAAUGUGGUUGGAGAAGAUGGUUUUUAGAUUGACUGGGAAGGGAAGGUGGAGGACAGUUGGGUCAAGGAGAUCAAUUGUGUGGAGUAGGAGAGUUUCGCUUGCCGUCUGAGCCCGUUGAUUGUUCUCGUUUCCGAAAGAUACAACAGGUCUGAUCAUCGAAAUCCCCCCAUUUCGGACAAGUUGCUGGUUUCCUGUGGCAUUAGUAUGAGUAGGUUUUGUUGUUUUAUGCAGGAAAAACAAUGUAUAUUAAUAACAAUAUUAGGAGAUGGCAAAGAGCUUUUGAGCAAUCCAAAUGAAAAUGAAA